GGGGAUUGCCAAAAGAGAACAGACAAAGAGGCGGGAGGACUAGGUCGAAGAAAGAGUCGCGGCCCCUAGGAAAAUAAAUAAUUUCCUAGGCACAGCAACUGUAUACGCAUAUGUGUCCCGGAGUCAUGGGCGCCCCCUGCGACCUCCGCCACCUUUUCCACGCAGCCUGAUUCGGCUCCCACCCUUUUACACCUCCCCUCUUUCCCACCACUUCAUCUCAACCUUCCUAAAGCGACGUCAGCACCCGAAAGACUUCCGGACCUUGCGCACGUGAGCCACGAGCAUGAUCAUCAUCAGCAGAAUCAGUACCCAUGUAACAGAAGGGCCAUCAGCACCAGCAAAACCAAGGAACGAAUCCUUCGCUCUCCUUUCUCAAGGCUCUACUCCCC